AGAGUUUGAUCCUGGCUCAGGAUGAACGCUGGCGGCGUGCCUAACACAUGCAAGUCGAGCGAUUCUCUUUCAGAGAAGAGCGGCGGACGGGUGAGUAACGCGUGGGUAACCUGCCCUGUACACACGGAUAACAUACCGAAAGGUAUGCUAAUACGAGAUAAUAUGCUUUUAUCGCAUGGUAGAAGUAUCAAAGCUUUUGCGGUACAGGAUGGACCCGCGUCUGAUUAGCUAGUUGGUAAGGUAACGGCUUACCAAGGCGACGAUCAGUAGCCGACCUGAGAGGGUGAUCGGCCACAUUGGAACUGAGACACGGUCCAAACUCCUACGGGAGGCAGCAGUGGGGAAUAUUGCACAAUGGGCGAAAGCCUGAUGCAGCAACGCCGCGUGAGCGAUGAAGGCCUUCGGGUCGUAAAGCUCUGUCCUCAAGGAAGAUAAUGACGGUACUUGAGGAGGAAGCCCCGGCUAACUACGUGCCAGCAGCCGCGGUAAUACGUAGGGGGCUAGCGUUAUCCGGAAUUACUGGGCGUAAAGGGUGCGUAGGUGGUUUCUUAAGUCAGAGGUGAAAGGCUACGGCUCAACCGUAGUAAGCCUUUGAAACUGGGAAACUUGAGUGCAGGAGAGGAGAGUGGAAUUCCUAGUGUAGCGGUGAAAUGCGUAGAUAUUAGGAGGAACACCAGUUGCGAAGGCGGCUCUCUGGACUGUAACUGACACUGAGGCACGAAAGCGUGGGGAGCAAACAGGAUUAGAUACCCUGGUAGUCCACGCCGUAAACGAUGAGUACUAGCUGUCGGAGGUUACCCCCUUCGGUGGCGCAGCU
rnacentral:rRNA from 1 species